rnacentral:rRNA from 2 species
AUGCAAGUCGAACGCGUUGGCCCAAUUGAUUGAUGGUGCUUGCACCUGAUUGAUUUUGGUCGCCAACGAGUGGCGGACGGGUGAGUAACACGUAGGUAACCUGCCCAGAAGCGGGGGACAACAUUUGGAAACAGAUGCUAAUACCGCAUAACAACGUUGUUCGCAUGAACAACGCUUAAAAGAUGGCUUCUCGCUAUCACUUCUGGAUGGACCUGCGGUGCAUUAGCUUGUUGGUGGGGUAACGGCCUACCAAGGCGAUGAUGCAUAGCCGAGUUGAGAGACUGAUCGGCCACAAUGGGACUGAGACACGGCCCAUACUCCUACGGGAGGCAGCAGUAGGGAAUCUUCCACAAUGGGCGCAAGCCUGAUGGAGCAACACCGCGUGAGUGAAGAAGGGUUUCGGCUCGUAAAGCUCUGUUGUUAAAGAAGAACACGUAUGAGAGUAACUGUUCAUACGUUGACGGUAUUUAACCAGAAAGUCACGGCUAACUACGUGCCAGCAGCCGCGGUAAUACGUAGGUGGCAAGCGUUAUCCGGAUUUAUUGGGCGUAAAGAGAGUGCAGGCGGUUUUCUAAGUCUGAUGUGAAAGCCUUCGGCUUAACCGGAGAAGUGCAUCGGAAACUGGAUAACUUGAGUGCAGAAGAGGGUAGUGGAACUCCAUGUGUAGCGGUGGAAUGCGUAGAUAUAUGGAAGAACACCAGUGGCGAAGGCG